rnacentral:lncRNA from 1 species
CCUUAUUAUUUAUGUAAUAAAACCUACAAUUGACUUUCCUGAGACUUGUAGCAUUCCUUAGACAGGGGAUACCUGCCUUCUGAAACACUGCUCAGAGAAACUGGAGCAAAUAUGCUAUUUUUGAGAUUUAGUCGCCUAUGGGAAGAAAAUCAAAAUUUUAAAUUAGGAAACACUCAGUGGAUUCUGUAAGUUUCUUCAUGGAUAUGCAGAUGAUGAAACUGAAGGGGAGAGAGUGAUUUUCUUAAAAUUGGUAUUCUGAAAUUUAAUGCAGUACUUAUGAAGUCUUUUAUACACUGCCAUUGGAAUGAGUCACUGGACUGUAUUCACCUAAAGUUCAGGUCUGGUCAACAUUUUAGACCCAAAGGUCAACAAACUAUGUAGAUUUGACCCAGAUAACAGAUGCAGUCUGGUACCCAUUUGUGUCAUUUUUAUGUGGCCAAACCUAACUUUGUGGUUUCAUCAUGACAGGCUUUAGUUUGCAGUAGAGAUCUUGUGGCUCAGGAGCCUGAAGAGUUUACUACUCAGCUCUGUGAAUCUUCUUUAAGAUGAUCUUUGAGAAUACCUUUCCAUGUCGUCCUUAAAGCAAGCUAUUGUCAUCCAUUGCUAGCAUUCAGAUUCUCAAGACAAGUAUGUCAUGAGAAAUGAACCUGCAAAGACUACCUGCUUUCUUACCACACUCAUUUCUCCUCACCACUUGUGCCUGCUGAAGUCUCUCCUCAAUCCUCUGCCAAGUGACUACUUGUUGUCUGGAAACUUCUGAGGACACUGGGGAAUCUGGUGGUAACAUGGGCAAGUUGGUGUUCUUUAUAUAAAGUGGGGACAUUUGCUGUUUAAUGAGGCAAGGAUUCUCACGGGGCCACAAUUUCAUCUGGAAGAGAUAGAGUGCCAGCCUAUCAUGGUUUGAGAAGCUUGGGAGAUGCACAUAGACACACAGGCACCUGGUAGUAAGGCGCCAGGGUGGAGCUUCAGAGUUUAAUCUUCCGUGAAAUUGUCUGUGCUGCCUCACAGGGAAGCCACGUCUAAACACUGGAAGAUGUUCCAUAGCCAGCACUUUGAGAACUUAUUUCACAUAGUCUUGAUUUAUACCUUACAUUUGAUUUACUUACAUGGCACAGCAUGAUUCCUAAAGGUUAAAAGCAAUGGCUAUUAUUUAUUUAUUUAUUUUUAUUUAUUUAUUUAUUUAUUUAUUUAUUUAGGAGACAUGGUUGUUAAUUUCACUUCAGUCAUAUAGUGUGUCCAUUCACUUAGACUCAGCACUUUUCUGGUGUUAUAAAAGAAGACUUUGUUUUUACUAAACAACAUGUAUCUGUCGAAAUGACUUCUUGGAUGUUAUUUCAGAAGUUCAAGUGAGUUUUCAGGAUUCAGCUCACAGUAUUCAGAUACGAAUCUAUAAUCUGUUCUGUAUCCAUUCUGUAGGCAGGAAGAGGUACACGGUUGGCCACAAACCUCAGGUCAAAACUUGUUUCCUCAUAGGCAGUGGUCAAUGAAAAAGACAGACAACAAAGGAAAUGUUUGUAAAGCGUAGAGCGUAUGAGAUAGCAAAAGUGAUUUGGAGAAAAUUCACACUAAGAAGUUGGAAGGGGUAUUUUUGGUUUUCAGUGGGGUUGUCCAAGAAGACUGUGCUGUGACAUUUGAAAAUUGAUAUAAUAGGGAUGGAGAUGGAAGUCAAGCAAAUAUCUGGGAUCCGAGUCUGGCAGACAGACAGUCAUGGCUUUCAGUAACCCAACAACAGUGAAAUAAGAGACAAAGUUAUAGUAGAUGAAAUUUGCUAAAGGAGAAGGCAUGACUGCAGGUUUUGGGGCCUUUUAGACAACGAUAGAAAGGAAGCCAGAGUUUCCAGUAGUGGCAUGUUGUGUUUCAGCUUCCUUUCUGAAGGAUCACUAUAGUUGUUACAGAAAAAGAAAGAACAACUUUGGGAGUCAGAAUGGCAGCAGAGAGGACUGCAGUAAUUCAGGCAAAUAAGAACUUAUGGACAUACUCCAUUCCAAUAGGUCUGGAGUCUGCCUGCACUGCUCUGUCCCAACAGCUCAUUCAUGACAGGCACUGAUCUCAAGAGUAGGCUUGAACUAUCCUGGGUACCAUAGAUAACCAUGUGUCCACAGAACCACCAACCCAGGGCAAAUUUCAUGUUGUUGUUUUCCAUUUUGUCAGUUAUCAUCUUAUUUACUUAUAAUAGUGAACUUGCUGAUUCCUUCUUGUCCCCAUAGGAGCUUUUCAGGGCUCUGACAUUCUUAGUAUAAAGAAUGUCUGUGUGGCAAGUAAAAUAAAAUGCCCUGCAAAGGUCCAUUCUGGACAACCUUGUUCUAGGAUGAAGUUAGGACAGACAGGGAUGUCUCUCAACUUCUGCACCUCGAGGAAUUGAUAGGUUAGAGUUAGGAAAAUGGUUUAACUUUAGUCUAUAUCACACCCAUUUACUCUACACACAGUAAAAAAAAUGAAUACAGAUAAGACUUAUUGUGAGAGCAGAUAAAAGCAGAAAGAUAGAAAUGAAGUUUUGAACAGGGGAAGUCAUGAACAGAGAAUCUUCCCAUAACACAUGGUGUCAGCGGAAACGGGAAAUUCUUUUACUUGAAAACUUCUUUGGAGAAAUGAUGUUCUUUUGCUCAUAAUAACCAUUGAAUUGUUGCUCACA